rnacentral:rRNA from 2 species
UAGUGAGUUUGAUCCUGGCUCAGAACGAACGCUGGCGGCAGGCUUAACACAUGCAAGUCGAACGCCCCGCAAGGGGAGUGGCAGACGGGUGAGUAACACGUGGGAACGUACCCUUCGGUUCGGAAUAACUCAGGGAAACUUGAGCUAAUACCGGAUACGUCCGUAAGGAGAAAGAUUUAUUGCCGAAGGAUCGGCCCGCGUAGGAUUAGCUAGUUGGUGGGGUAAUGGCCUACCAAGGCGACGAUCCUUAGCUGGUCUGAGAGGAUGAUCAGCCACACUGGGGACUGAGACACGGCCCAGACUCCUACGGGAGGCAGCAGUGGGGAAUUUUCCGCAAUGGGCGAAAGCCUGACGGAGCAAGACCGCGUGAGGGGA